rnacentral:lncRNA from 1 species
GCUUCAAGCGAACCCUCUUCCAAAACCACGAAUUCAGAUUUGCGGUGAUCAUCUACCCGCGCAAGGUGAAGAUCUGAUCUUCCUAAUAGUUUUAAAAGUCUUAAUUCUUACCUAAUUACGAAAGGUCUCGAAACAACGUUCAUGCGAUGAACGUCGAACCCGUGCAUGCCGAUUCCGCUGCCAUCUGAAAAAUUUUUGAAAUAUCAGCGGCAUGGGUGGGUUCCCAAUAGUGGUAUCAGAGCCUAGGCUUC